rnacentral:rRNA from 1 species
UACAGAGGUCCCAAGCGUUAAUCGGAAUUACUGGGCGUAAAGCGUGCGCAGGCGGCUUUGCAAGACAGAUGUGAAAUCCCCGGGCUUAACCUGGGAACUGCAUUUGUGACUGCAUGGCUGGAGUGCGGCAGAGGGGGAUGGAAUUCCGCGUGUAGCAGUGAAAUGCGUAGAUAUGCGGAGGAACACCGAUGGCGAAGGCAAUCCCCUGGGCCUGCACUGACGCUCAUGCACGAAAGCGUGGUGAGCAAACAGG